rnacentral:lncRNA from 1 species
UUCAAGGGCUUUUAAGGUUGUAACGGGGCUUAGGAACAAGGUGGAAAAAACAAACAAAAGGGAAAAACAAGUGGUUUAGACUCAGAGUCUGUGUUGUCACUCUCAUCACUGUGUUUUAUUGUUCAUAAUAAAGAGUUUUUCACACCGUUUUGUUAGGAUUCUUUAGUUUUUACUCAAGUGUUUCUUUGAGCUUGCUUUUCGUCAAACUAAAUCCUCAUCUAGGUAAGUUCUUUACUCUACUUCACUUUUUUUCUCUUUUUUUUCUUGAAGCUUUUCAACUUUUU